rnacentral:tRNA from 2 species
AUCUUCCUAGUAUAAAUGUUAGUACGAGUGACUUCCAAUCACAUGGUCUUGGUUAAAAUCCAAGGAAAGAUA